UACCAUACAGGAAUCAUUCAUUUGGAAGC
rnacentral:piRNA from 1 species